UACGGGGGGGGGCAAGCGUUGUUCGGAAUUACUGGGCGUAAAGGGCUCGUAGGUGGCCAACUAAGUCAUACGUGAAAUCCCUCGGCUUAACCGGGGAACUGCGUCUGAUACUGGAUGGCUUGAGGUUGGGAGAGGGAUGCGGAAUUCCAGGUGUAGCGGUGAAAUGCGUAGAUAUCUGGAGGAACACCGGUGGCGAAGGCGGCAUCCUGGACCAAUUCUGACACUGAGGAGCGAAAGCCAGGGGGAGCAAACGGGG
rnacentral:rRNA from 1 species